CCCAUUGUGAACUGGCAGCUCAAGAGUACUGGCUGAAAACUCAAGCUUUGUUGAGGGAGAAAGUGGAAGAGACCCAGGAGGCUGCCCGCUUGAGGUGCAGAUUGGAAAUUAUACGGAGUCAGAAGCCGCAAGGGGCAUACGGAUGGAGACAGCUGCACGAAGGUCGCCGGACAGCCAGAC